UUCCAGUGUUUCAUUCUGAAGGAACAGGUAUCCAAAAGAAUGUCUCAGCAGUCCCUGAUGGGUAGAACAAAGGCAGAAUGAGGGGGAAUGUUACUUGUCUGGCGAUGAUAUUUGCUUCUUUCUAAGCACAGAAUAUAGUUCUGAAGGGUCAGUAAAGAACUAUCUGCAUUCUGUCUUUGGCAGUUUCAUUAUGUUGUCAAUUAUUACAGUGCAAUGUUCUAAUGGGAGUUUCAUCAAGCAUUCAAAUUGGAUAGAGGAUUCAUUUAGCUGCCACAACAAAUUGAGCUCAGCAGGCUUCAUUUCAGGAACUUCUGUGGUGUCAAGUGCACAUGUACUGCAGAACCUCAUCUCUGAGACAGCUGGGCAGGAAAAGUCAAAGUAG
rnacentral:lncRNA from 9 species